AACGACUCUCGGCAACGGAUAUCUCGGCUCUCGCAUCGAUGAAGAACGUAGCGAAAUGCGAUACUUGGUGUGAAUUGCAGAAUCCCGUGAACCAUCGAGUCUUUGAACGCAAGUUGCGCCCGAAGCCUUUUGGCCGAGGGCACGUCUGCCUGGGUGUCACGCAACGUCG
rnacentral:rRNA from 14 species